UGUAGCUCAGAGAGCAGAUCCUGCCUUCACUUACAGGACGUGGUGCUCACCAUGCCCCUCCUCCACAGUGUAGGAUUCCAGAAUACCCACCUGUUUCUAUUCUGCACACAUGAGCUCCAGGAACUACAAAGUCAGCAUGAUUAAGGUCCUUGUUCAGGUGACCAAAUGUCAGAGAGGGCAACUGAGGAUAGGACCCUUGUGAUGGGAAGAAUAACUGGGGGGUGUCCUGAGAGGAGUGCGGGGGAGUUCCCUCAAACUGGAAGAUUAAGCUUGAGAGUCAAGAUAAAUCUCCUCCCUUCCAGCAGUUCAGCAGGUUCCCCACCAUUCUAGCCCUGGAAGAAAGAAUUCAGAAUGGGCACCAUGAGAUUCCCCAGCACUGGACAGCAGGAAGUGCUCCCAUUCAUGCAGGUCUUCUCUCUUACAACUGAAAUGUCCUGACACACUACAACAAACAAGUAUAGGAAGACUUUUGAAGGUAGAAAGAGGAAGAAGGAAGACUUCAAACAAAUUGAGGAAAAUGCCAAAGGACCAAUUCUUAGAUCGUGGUGACUCAGGAGACUUCAUGGCAGUGUCCCCAGGAGGGACAGUCACUUUCAGGAAUGCCUCCAGCGCAGGACUCUAUCCAUACUGGAUCUAGGCAAAGAUUGGCCAAGUCUGGAGCAUUUAUUUAUAAUAAAAACA